GAUGAAGAACGUAGCGAAAUGCGAUAAGUAAUGUGAAUUGCAGAAUUCAGUGAAUCAUCGAAUCUUUGAACGCACCUUGCGCCCUUUGGCUAUUCCGAAGGGCAUGCCUGUUUGAGUAUCAUGAACACCUCAACCCUCAUGGUUUGCCAUGAUGGGCUUGGACUUUGGGGGUCUUGCUGGAUUGUAGUCAGCUCCCCUUAAAUGAAUCAGCUUGCCAGUGUUUGGUGGCAUCACAGGUGUGAUAAAUAUCUACGCUUGUGGUUUUACAUCAGAUAACCUUCAGUGAUGGAGGUUCACUGGAGCUCAUAAAGGUGUCUCUCCUCUGUGAGGACAGCUCUUUGAAUGUUUGAUCUCAAAUCAGGUAGGACUACCCGCUGAACUUAAGCAUAUCAAUAAGCGGAGGA
rnacentral:misc_RNA from 1 species